ACGGGCGGAAAGAGCGUCCACUACUAACGUGGUGAACGCUCAAAACUUAAAGCAAGAGGUUUGAGACUUUGUUUAAACACUCUGAAUGUCUCGUAAAAAAGUGACAAUAUAGGCAAUAUCGAGGAUUAGAUCGCAUGAGUUUUAACUCUUCGUGACCGGAGAGUAAUUCAAUCAAAAAAGAGUGAAUUUUUGUAUUAUUUUAGAAAGAUUCUACUGUUGAAUCCCCGUUCAUGACCGUGGAAAAGUUUUGAUCACAGACUCCUCCUUUUCGUGGACAACCCUUGAUUCCAGGAGCGCAUUGUGUAUACGGGCCUCACUGUUUGAGCUAUUUUUCGGUGGAAAAUCUACGAAGUUGAAUUUUUAACUACGUCAUCUGUCAGGAGGUGUGGACAGGACCGCGGUGCUUACGAACCAGCCGAUGUCACACACUCGAGGAGUGAAAUUCGGUGGUGGGACCUAUGUCGCAGGCAAAUAGUAACAUCAGGCAUUAACAUCAAAUGCCUGGACAAAUAGUUAAAUACUCUAACAUAGAUUGAAAUUCUGAUUCUUUUCCAAAUUUUAGACAAAAUAAUUCAUUGCUCCUGCAAGAAAAAAUUCUCAGUAAAAAUUUGCACACGCAAUAGUAUUUUAAACAAUUUCUACUCCUGAAGAGACACUGAUCUUGAAUUUUUCAGCAUGUCGUAAAAUACAGAAUUUUUGGACAAGGAGGAAGAGACAAAAAGAGAUCGUAGGUUUAAUGAGUUAUUUUUCCAAAAAUAGUGAAAAAUCGUGAGCUCUUCGCCAUAAAUUCACAAAAUUAUGUAGACCGUCAAAAUUUGAUUAUCUGCCUAGGAAUUUGACAAAACGCCUGAUUUCACUAUUUGCCUGCGACAUCUAUAUCCUUCCGGCCAAACUAUCACACGCGCUAUGCUACGCUUGAAAAUUUCCGCCGCCAUUUAAUAUUUCCUACUCAUUCCUCCAUGCUGAACCAGCUGUACCUCUGAUGGACUGUUACCUAUACGAGGAACUACGCUCUUCGAGAAUUUCUAUAGCCUUUUUGCAGGUAGUCUGUGCGGCAUCUAUAUAGUAUUCUCCUUAUCACUCGAGGUGGGCACAGAACGUGACUUUUCAAGGGAGAAAAUGUAAAGAAAAUAAAGAAAUUGUGAAAAAAAAUCUUAUUUUUAUAAAAUAAAUUUAGAAGAUAUUUGUACAUAGCAUUAUGGAGAACAUUCUUUAGGAU
rnacentral:lncRNA from 1 species